rnacentral:rRNA from 1 species
UACGAAGGGGGCUAGCGUUGCUCGGAAUCACUGGGCGUAAAGCGCACGUAGGCGGAUUGCUAAGUCAGGGGUGAAAUCCUGGAGCUCAACUCCAGAACUGCCUUUGAUACUGGCGAUCUUGAGUCCGGGAGAGGUAAGUGGAACUGCGAGUGUAGAGGUGAAAUUCGUAGAUAUUCGCAAGAACACCAGUGGCGAAGGCGGCUUACUGGUCCGGAUCUGACGCUGAGGCGCGAAAGCGUGGGGAGCAAACAGG